UCCACUUCACUCCAAUAACUUUUCUGCCUUCAGGUUUAUCAACUAAUGUCCAGGUAUUGUUUUUCUAAAUCAUUGACAAUUCCUCCUCCAUGGCCUUCUUCCAUUUGCUGUCUUUGAGUGCCUCUUCAUAUCCAGCAGGUUCAUAAAAUGCAAUGUUGCAUCUUUGAUAGAUGUCUGAUAGCAGCCUUGUGCCUCUAACUGGAGGAUCAUCUUCAAGUUCAUUCUGCCAUUGAGGAGCUAUUUGAUCUUCAGAAGGAGUGCUUUGCUAAAGAUUCUUCCAGUCCCAUUGCUCAUCUUCAUUGAAGUGAACAUCCCUUGUAAUUGAUAUCUUCUUUGUUUGUGGAUGAUACACUUUGUAUGCUUUGGAGACUAAGCUGUAUCCCACAAAUAUGCCUGGAAGUGCUUUCUUAUCAAGCUUGUCACGCUUGACCUGAGGAAUAUGGACAAAACACACACUGCCAAAUACUUUAAGAAAGUUCAGUGAAGGUUUAUAUCCAUACCAGACUUCAAAUGGUGUUCUUUCAUUCAAAAACUUGGCUGGAAGUCUGUUUUAAAGAAAGACUGCUGUAUUUGCUGCCUCUGCCCAGAAUUCUUUCGGCAACUCCUUGUCAUGCAACAUACACCUAGCCAUCUCCAUCACAUAUCUAUUUCUCCUUUCACUAACCCCAUUUUGCUCUGGAGUGUAGGGAGCAGUGAGCUGAUGUACAAUUCCAGCUUCUUCACAGAAUAGAUUAAAUGUUGUUGAAGUAUACUCCUUCCCAUUAUCUGAUCUUAUACUUUGAAUCUUGCAGCCACUCUGAUUUUCCACCAUCUUCUUGAAUUUCCAGAAGACUCCAGCAACCUCUGACUUGAACUUCAAGAAGAAAAUCCAGCACAUCCUUGAAAAAUCAUCAAUGAACACAAUGUGGUAGAGACUACCUUUCAGUGAUGGUGUUCUUUGAGGUCCUGCUACAUCUGUAUGAAUGAGUUGCAGCUUUUGAGAUGCCUUCCAGGAAGAUUUAGGAAAAGGCAGCCUCCUUUGUUUGCCAAAUUGACAAG
rnacentral:lncRNA from 1 species